AAGAAUAUACUUUCAGGGAUCAUUUCUACAGUUUAUUACUAGAGAAGUUUCUCUGAUUCUGCAGAGCGCCUGAAACCAUGAGAAGAGCCAGAGGAUCAUCUCCUGAGCAUGAAACCUGUUCUAGGUAUUGCUUUUGCAGCUGCCUUUUACAUUGAUGAUCAUUCUUCUCUUCCCUAGGAGAAGGAGAGGAUGCAGUCUGAG
rnacentral:snoRNA from 1 species